rnacentral:rRNA from 1 species
CACGUAGGGGACGAGCGUUGUCCGGAUUCAUUGGGCGUAAAGCGCGCGUAGGCGGUCUGUCGCGUCGGAUGUGAAAUCCCAGGGCUCAACCCUGGGCCUGCAUUCGAUACGGGCAGACUAGAGUUCGGUAGGGGAGACUAGAAUUCCUGGUGUAGCGGUGAAAUGCGCAGAUAUCAGGAGGAACACCGGUGGCGAAGGCGGGUCUCUGGGCCGAUACUGACGCUGAGGAGCGAAAGCGUGGGGAGCAAACAGG